AUUGAACGCUGGCGGCAGGCCUAACACAUGCAAGUCGAGCGGAUGAAGGGAGCUUGCUCCUGGAUUCAGCGGCGGACGGGUGAGUAAUGCCUAGGAAUCUGCCUGGUAGUGGGGGAUAACGUCCGGAAACGGGCGCUAAUACCGCAUACGUCCUGAGGGAGAAAGUGGGGGAUCUUCGGACCCCAGGCUAUCGGAGUAGCCUAGGUCGGAUUAGCUAGUGGGUGGGGUAAAGGCCUACCAAGGCGACGAUCCGUAACUGGUCUGAGAGGAUGAUCAGUCACACUGGAACUGAGACACGGUCCAGACUCCUACGGGAGGCAGCAGUGGGGAAUAUUGGACAAUGGGCGAAAGCCUGAUCCAGCCAUGCCGCGUGUGUGAAGAAGGUCUUCGGAUUGUAAAGCACUUUAAGUUGGGAGGAAGGGCAGUAAGUUAAUACCUUGCUGUUUUGACGUUACCAACAGAAUAAGCACCGGCUAACUUCGUG
rnacentral:rRNA from 1 species